AAGUUUAAUCCAAUGUUCAUUUAAAGAUGUUUUCGGUAGUUUUGGUUGCUAUUGUGUAUAUCGAUGGCUCUUGCUUUUGCUUUGAUAUUGUAUCGUAAGUAGAGGUGACAUAAAAAGAGUUGUUCUAAGGGGUUGAAAUUGGUUAGAGUAAGUUGUUUCACUACAUGUCGAAACAAUGCAGGUCAAGUCGACCUAAAAACACUUUAUUUUUUAUUCUUUUCAUUUGUUGCUAUAUACUUUAUGUGCUAUUUAUGAUAACAAAAGUACUAUUAGUACAUUAGCAAUCUAAAAGUUAUGAGUAAACUUAGUUAAGAUGUUGUAUUUAUUGAUGUGAACUUUGGGCCACUUUGUUCGAGAUGAAAUCAAUCCCAAAUUGAUAUUUUAUAAGCAAUGAGUCUAAGUUAUCUGUUCAUAUGGUUUUGGUAUUAGUUUUUAGUGCAACACUUUUAAUCACAUGGAGUAUGUUCUUCCACUUAAUGCGCAUCAGUAUAGAGAUUCCUGAAGUUUAAUUAUAAUAAUCACUACAUAAUGCAUCCGUGUUGAUUCAAUUAGAAUGUAUAAGCUACAUAUUUACGAUGAAUUAGUUAAAAAAUAGAAUAGACCGAUGCAAUGCACGGGUUUCACCUACUUUAUGUGGUUUAUAUCUUUUUCGCAGCAUGUGAAGUCAUUUGCUCAUUGUUAUACUUCAUAGAGGUAGAAAAUGAGUGGCUAGCUCGGUUAGAUAACAUGUCAAAAGUGGUAUUUUUGGGGGUUUUCUUUGAAUCAGUUUUUUGUCAAAAGAUUUUGUACAUGUUUAUGAAUAAUCUAUUUUUCAACUACAGUCUUUAAUUUGGCCCUUUUGACCAGUUGGAUGUACAUAUCAAUUCAAACCAAACUAAUCACUUAGUUUGUGGAACCUUUGGUGAUGUUACUCUUAAAUGUUAUAAUGUUAUAGAUGACAAGACUGCUAGAUAUUCUUGAAGAUUAUCUGACGUAUCGCAGGUAUUAAAAUUGUCGUAUCGAUGGUAACACUGGUGGUAAUGACCAUGAUGCUUCCAUUAUCAGUUAGUUCGUCUUUUUGUUAUCAGCUAGAGCUCGAGACUUGGUAUCAAUCUUGCUAUUGUAGAUAUCGUCAUUCUCUAUGACAGUGAUUGGAAACCCUAAGUGGAUUUACAAGCUCAGGAUCGUGCUCAUAAGAUUCGGCAGAAGAAAGAAGUUCAAGUGAUUCGUUUCUGCACCGAGAGGAUAAGGUCACUGAAAGGGCUUAAAAAAAGCAUGCACUUGAUGCAUUGGUUAUUCACAAGGACGUUUAGCUGAGCAAAAGAGUAACAGCUGUAAACAAAGAUGAGUUGCUACACGAGAUGUGGUUUGGUGCUGAGAAGGUUUUUAACACUAAGGAUAGUACAAUCACAUACGAAAACAUUGAUAAAAUCAUUGCAGAAGGAGAGGAAGCCACUCGUGAACUUGCUGCUAAGAUGAGAAGUUCACAGAAGAUGCAAUAAAGUUUAAAUGGACGAUGGUAAUAGUAAUCGCUAUAUGGGAAUUGAGAAGUUGCUGUUUGGGCUGGGGCAACAGGAUAAGGACUCACGAUUGCUAUGAGAAACACUUUCCGCACUUCACAUGGUUGAUCAUGUAUAUGUUAUUCUGUGUAUAUCACGAUUCACGAGGAUGCUUAAAAGUUUUUCUUCACACUUUUGUUUUAAUGGUUUACAAUUUUUUUGCCUUUUAUUGAAUCAGCAUAGUGCUUUAUGAA